UCAAAAACAUGUCUUUUUGAAAUAAUUUAAAGUCUAAUCUGCCCACUGAUAAAAUUAUUAAAGGGCUGCAGUAUAUUGACUGUACAAAGGUAGCAUAAUCAUUAGUCUUUUAAUUGAAGACUUGUAUGAAAGAUUUGAUGAGAUAUAGACUGUCUCUAAUUUAUUAAUAAAAAUUAAUUUUUUAGUUAAAAAGCUAAAAUAAUAUUAAAAGACGAGAAGACCCUAUAAAGUUUUAUAAUUUAUUUAUUUAAUAUUAAUUAUAUAAUUAAAUAUAAUAAAUAAUUAAAAUUAUUUUAUUGGGGUGAUAGAAAAAUUUGAUUAACUUUUUUUAAAAAAUAAACAUUAAUAAGUGAAAUAAUGAUCCAUUUUUAAUGAUUAAAAGAAAAAAUUACUUUAGGGAUAACAGCGUAAUAUUUUUUUUUAGUACAAAUAAAAAAGAAAGUUUGCGACCUCGAUGUUGGAUUAAGAUAAAAUUUAAAUGCAAAAGUUUAAAAUUUUGAUCUGUUCGAUCAUUAAUCCUUACAUGAUCUGAGCU
rnacentral:rRNA from 1 species